UACAGAGGUCUCAAGCGUUGUUCGGAUUCAUUGGGCGUAAAGGGUGCGUAGGCGGCGCGGUAAGUCGGGUGUGAAAUCUCGAAGCUUAACUCCGAAACUGCAUUCGAUACUGCCGUGCUUGAGGACUGGAGAGGAGACUGGAAUUUACGGUGUAGCGGUGAAAUGCGUAGAUAUCGUAAGGAAGACCAGUGGCGAAGGCGGGUCUCUGGACAGUUCCUGACGCUGAGGCACGAAGGCCAGGGGAGCAAACGGG
rnacentral:rRNA from 1 species